rnacentral:rRNA from 1 species
AUGCCACGGUGAAUACGUUCCCGGGCCUUGUACACACCGCCCGUCACACCAUGGGAGUGGGUUGCAAAAGAAGUAGGUAGCUUAACCUUCGGGAGGGCGCUUACCACUUUGUGAUUCAUGACUGGGGUGAAGUCGUAACAAGGUAACCGUAGGGGAACCUGCGGUUGGAUCACCUCCUUACC